GUGGAUGUAGCUCAGUAGGUAGAGCGCCAGAUUGUGGCUCUGGUGGCCGUGGGUUCGAGUCCCACCAUUCACCCCA
rnacentral:tRNA from 1 species